AACGAACGCUGGCGGCAGGCCUAACACAUGCAAGUCGAACGCCCCGCAAGGGGAGUGGCAGACGGGUGAGUAACGCGUGGGAACCUUCCUAAAGGUACGGAAUAACUUCGGGAAACUGGAGCUAAUACCGUAUGUGCCCGAGAGGGGAAAGGUUUAUCGCCUGUAGAUGGGCCCGGGUUGGAUUAGCUAGUUGGUGAGGUAAGGGAUCACCAAGGCGACGAUCCAUAGCUGGUUUGAGAGAAUGACCAGCCACACUGGGGCUGAGACACGGCCCAGACUCCUACGGGAGGCAGCAGUGGGGAAUCUUGGACAAUGGGCGCAAGCCUGAUCCAGCCAUGCCGCGUGAGUGAAGAAGGCCUUAGGGUUGUAAAACUCUUUCGCCGGGGAAGAUAAUGACGGUACCCGGAGAAGAAGCUCCGGCUAACUUCGUGCCAGCAGCCGCCGUAAUAC
rnacentral:rRNA from 1 species